rnacentral:rRNA from 1 species
CCUACGGGAGGCAGCAGUGGGGAAUAUUGGGCAAUGGACGCAAGUCUGACCCAGCCACGCCGCGUGAAGGAAGAAGGCUUUCGGGUUGUAAACUUCUUUUAUGGGGGAAGAGCAGAAGACGGUACCCCUUGAAUAAGCCACGGCUAACUACGUGCCAGCAGCCGCGGUAAUACGUAGGUGGCAAGCGUUGUCCGGAUUUAAUGGGUGUAAAGGGCGUGCAGCCGGAGAGACAAGUCAGAUGUGAAAUCCACGGGCUCAACGCGUGAACUGCCUUUGAAACUGUUUCCCUGGAGUGUGGGGGAGGUAAGCGGAAUGCCUGGUGUAGCGGUGAAAUGCGUAGAUAUUAGGAAGAACACCAGUGGCGAAGGCGGAUUACGGGUCGAUAACUGACGGUGAGGCGCGAAAGCGUGGGGAGCAAACAGGAUUAGAUACCCUAGUAGUC